GGGGUCUGUUCGCCAGGUCAGCUGCCGAGCGCUGCAGUCAGCUGGGGCGGGGGAGCAUCCUUCUAUUCUAAAUCACCUCAAAUCCUCGUCCCGUGUAGGCGGUAAGAGACCGGAGCCUCUUCCCUACCAGGGACCUAAACUCUGCCCUCCGACUGGGUUAGUUCGCUUUCCUGCAUCCACUCUCUACCUCUCAUUUUAAGCCCCUUAUGCCUGGACGUUUCUCUCCUCGUAACUCAAGGUGAACAUGGUCUUCUGCAUCUUAGGCAUUAUCGUGAUGGCCACCACCAAUUCUCUCAUGUGGACGUUCUUUAGCCGGGGCCUCAGUUUCUCCAUGUCUUCGGCCAUUGCAUCUGUCACGGUGACUUUUUCAAACAUCCUCAGCUCGGUGAGUAGCCUGAGGGUACAGUCAGUACCCCUGUCCCAAACCUGGGUUCUGGGAGGGUCCCGGGUGAGUUGGGGAACCCACCCUCCCAGAUAGGAGGAAAGACAAGAGCUGAAGCAGAGAUUGGGCUGUGGCUUGAGCCCUGGUGGCUGCUCCUCUGAUCUCGAACUUGGUAGAAUCCUCAAGUGUUAGCUGGGAGUGAAGGCCAAGUGUAAAAAAAAAAAAAAGCCCACCUGCCUGCUGCCCCUUCAGGCUGCAGCCCUCAUGCUGAUGUCUCUGUAACCUCUGUGCAAGCUGUCUCCUAGGGGUCUGUAAACUUGAGCGUGAGACGUGGAGGGUGGACGCUCUUUCCUCCGACAGCCUGAUGUCAACCAGGUGGGGCUGAGCCCAGUCAGUCCUGCCGUCGAGGGAGGGAGGACGUGGCAGGCCUGUUUGGAUCAGCAAACACCAGGCGCCAGCUGUGUGCUGGGCCUUCGCUGCUGGCCUCUGCGAAUCUUUCUUGUGCACUUUGCUCGGGGCCAAUGCUGCAAGGAAGGUACACUCCCCCCACCUCUCCGGGCGAGCCAGAAAUGGAUAGUGCCUUGCGGAAGGUGACAGCUGGGUUUCAGGCUCCAGACCUCCAGCUCCAGACCUUUCCUCCUGCCCCGGGAGGGAAGUCAGGCACGGGGGGAGUGAGGUUGUGCCUGCCCGCUGUGGUCAAGUCCUGCGGGCACGUGUCUACUUGGCCUCACAGCGGUCUCUGUCCCACAGGCCUUCCUGGGCUUUGUGUUGUAUGGAGAGUGCCAGGAGGUCUUGUGGUGGGGAGGUGUGUUCCUCAUCCUGUGCGGACUCAGCCUGAUCCAC